rnacentral:rRNA from 1 species
GACGAACGCUGGCGGCGUGCUUAACACAUGCAAGUCGAACGGAAAGGCCCUGCUUUUGUGGGGUGCUCGAGUGGCGAACGGGUGAGUAACACGUGAGUAACCUGCCCUUGACUUUGGGAUAACUUCAGGAAACUGGGGCUAAUACCGGAUAGGAGCUCCUGCUGCAUGGUGGGGGUUGGACAGUUUCGGCGGUUGGGGAUGGACUCGCGGCUUAUCAGCUUGUUGGUGGGGUAGUGGCUUACCAAGGCUUUGACGGGUAGCCGGCCUGAGAGGGUGACCGGCCACAUUGGGACUGAGAUACGGCCCAGACUCCUACGGGAGGCAGAAGUGGGGAAUAUUGCACAAUGGGCGGAAGCGUGAUGCAGCAACGCCGCGUGCGGGAUGAAGGCCUUCGGGUUGUAAACCGCUUUCGCCUGUGACGAAGCGUGAGUGACGGUAAUGGGUAAAGAAGCACCGGCUAACUACGUG